rnacentral:rRNA from 1 species
GAUGGUUUGGCACCUCGAUGUCGGCUCGUCGCAUCCUGGGGCUGGAGUCGGUCCCAAGGGUUGGGCUGUUCGCCCAUUAAAGCGGUACGCGAGCUGGGUUUAGAACGUCGUGAGACAGUUCGGUCCCUAUCCGCUGCGCGCGUAGGAAUAUUGAGAAGGGCUGUCCCUAGUACGAGAGGACCGGGACGGACGAACCUCUGGUGUGCCAGUUGUUCUGCCAAGGGCAUGGCUGGUUGGCUACGUUCGGAAAGGAUAACCGCUGAAAGCAUCUAAGCGGGAAGCCUGCUUCGAGAUGAGUAUUCCCACCCUCUUGAGGGGUUAAGGCUCCCAGUAGACGACUGGGUUGAUAGGCCAGAUGUGGAAGCCCGGUAACGGGUGGAGCUGACUGGUACUAAUAGGCCGAGGGCUUGUCCUCAGUUG